CGGACGGGUGAGUAACGCGUGAGGAUCUGCCUUCAGGUCGGGGACAACCAUUGGAAACGGUGGCUAAUACCGGAUAUACCUAACAGUGAAAGAUUAAUUGCCUGAAGAGGAGCUCGCGUCUGAUUAGCUAGUUGGUGGGGUAAAAGCCUACCAAGGCGACGAUCAGUAGCUGGUCUGAGAGGACGAUCAGCCACACUGGAACUGAGACACGGUCCAGACUCCUACGGGAGGCAGCAGUGGGGAAUUUUCCGCAAUGGGCGAAAGCCUGACGGAGCAAUACCGCGUGAGGGAGGAAGGCUCUUGGGUUGUAAACCUCUUUUCUCAGGGAAGAACAAAAUGACGGUACCUGAGGAAUCAGCAUCGGCUAACUCCGUGCCAGCAGCCGCGGUAAUACGGAGGAUGCAAGCGUUAUCCGGAAUGAUUGGGCGUAAAGCGUCCGCAGGUGGCAUUGAAAGUCUGCUGUCAAAGAGUCUGGCUCAACCAGAUAAAGGCAGUGGAAACUACAAAGCUAGAGUACGCUCGGGGCAGAGGGAAUUCCUGGUGUAGCGGUGAAAUGCGUAGAGAUCAGGAAGAACACCGGUGGCGAAAGCGCUCUGCUAGGCCGUAACUGACACUGAGGGACGAAAGCUAGGGGAGCGAAUGGGAUUAGAUACCCCAGUAGUCCUAGCCGUAAACGAUGGAUACUAGGUGUUGCUUGUAUCGACCCGAGCAGUACCGUAGCUAACGCGUUAAGUAUCCCGCCUGGGGAGUACGCAGGCAACUGUGAAACUCAAAGGAAUUGACGGGGGCCCGCACAAGCGGUGGAGUAUGUGGUUUAAUUCGAUGCAACGCGAAGAACCUUACCAGGGCUUGACAUGUCGCGAACCCUUGUGAAAGCAGGGGGUGCCUUCGGGAGCGCGAACACAGGUGGUGCAUGGCUGUCGUCAGCUCGUGUCGUGAGAUGUUGGGUUAAGUCCCGCAACGAGCGCAACCCUCGUUUUUAGUUGCCAUCAUUAAGUUGGGCACUCUAGAGAGACUGCCGGUGACAAACCGGAGGAAGGUGGGGAUGACGUCAAGUCAGCAUGCCCCUUACGUCCUGGGCUACACACGUACUACAAUGCGCCGAACAGAGGGCAGCAAGCAUGCGAAUGCAAGCUAAUCCCGGAAAUCGGCGCUCAGUUCAGAUCGCAGGCUGCAACUCGCCUGCGUGAAGUUGGAAUCGCUAGUAAUUGCAGGUCAGCAUACUGCGGUGAAUUCGUUCCCGGGCCUUGUACACACCGCCCGUCACACCAUGGAAGCUGGUAGUGCCCGAAGUCAUUACCCCAACCUCCGGGAGGGGGAUGCCUAAGGCAGGACUGGUGACUGGGGUGAAGUCGUAACAAGGUAAC
rnacentral:rRNA from 1 species